rnacentral:rRNA from 1 species
AUCCAGACUCCUACGGGAGGCAGCAGUGGGGAAUAUUGCACAAUGGGGGAAACCCUGAUGCAGCGACGCCGCGUGAGCGAUGAAGUAUUUCGGUAUGUAAAGCUCUAUCAGCAGGGAAGAAGAUGACGGUACCUGACUAAGAAGCCCCGGCUAACUACGUGCCAGCAGCCGCGGUAAUACGUAGGGGGCAAGCGUUAUCCGGAUUUACUGGGUGUAAAGGGAGCGUAGACGGCGAUGCAAGCCAGAUGUGAAAGCCCGGGGCUCAACCCCGGGACUGCAUUUGGAACUGUGUGGCUGGAGUGUCGGAGAGGCAGGCGGAAUUCCUAGUGUAGCGGUGAAAUGCGUAGAUAUUAGGAGGAACACCAGUGGCGAAGGCGGCCUGCUGGACGAUGACUGACGUUGAGGCUCGAAAGCGUGGGGAGCAAACAGGAUUAGAUACCCUCGUA